rnacentral:rRNA from 1 species
GACGAACGCUGGCGGCGUGCUUAACACAUGCAAGUCGAACGGAAAGGCCCUGCUUUUGUGGGGUGCUCGAGUGGCGAACGGGUGAGUAACACGUGAGUAACCUGCCCUUGACUUUGGGAUAACCUCAGGAAACUGGGGCUAAUACCGGAUAGGAGCUCCUGCUGCAUGGGGGGGGUUGGAAAGUUUCGGCGGUUGGGGAUGGACUCGCGGCUUAUCAGCUUGUUGGUGGGGUAGUGGCUUACCAAGGCGUUGACGGGUAGCCGGCCUGAGAGGGUGACCGGCCACAUUGGGACUGAGAUACGGCCCAGACUCCUACGGGAGGCAGCAGUGGGGAAUAUUGCACAAUGGGCGGAAGCCUGAUGCAGCAACGCCGCGUGCGGGAUGACGGCCUUCGGGUUGUAAACCGCUUUCGCCUGUGACGAAGCGUGAGUGACGGUAAUGGGUAAAGAAGCACCGGCUAACUACGUG